GGCCACAGGAUGGUGAACAGAGGGAAGAUGCCAGACCUUGAUUUUGCGUUUGAGGCACGGACAUCCUCCCACUCUCUCUCUACAAGACUGAGGAAGCAAGCCACCCUGAGGGCAGUUGGCAGUCACCUUGCAACCAAGAGAGAAGCCAGCCUUGGAAUAAAUCUGACAACACUGGAGGCAGAGCAAGGAGAGAGAAAAGAAACCCAAUCCUUGUGCACGUCCUGGGAGGCAGCCGUGAUGACUCAAGUUACUGAGUUCCUGCCAUUUACAUGGGAAACCUGGACUGAGUUACCAACUCCCUGCUUCAGCCUUGCCUGGCCAGCCCAGCCCCAGACAAUACUCCCUGUUAAUACACCUGGGAAAGCAGAAGAUGGCCCAAGUACUAGGACCACUGCCACCCACAUGGGAGACCCAGAUGGAGUUUCUGGCUCCUGGCUUCAGCCUGGCCAUAGUAGCCCUUUGAGAGAAUCAGUUAAUGGAAAAAUCUCAAUCUCUCUCUCUCUGUCUCUCUCAUCUAUUCCUACCUGUCACUUUGUCUUUCCAAUAAAUAAAUCUUCAGGAAAAAAAAAGGGGGGGGGGGCGUUGCUGUGGCACAGUGGGUUAACACCCUGGCCUGAAGCACUGGCAUCCCAUAUGGGCGCCGGUUCUAGUCCCGGCUGCUCCUCUUCUGAUCCAGCUCUCUCUCUCUGCUAUGGCUUGGGAUAGCAGUAGAAGAUGGCCCAACUCCUUGGGCCCUUGCACCCACGUGGGAGACCCGGAAGAAGCUCCUGGUUCCUGGCUUCUGAUCAGCACAACUCCAGCCAUUGCAGCCAUCCGGGGAGUGAACCAGUGGAUGGAAGACCUCUCUCUCUGUCUCUACCUCUCUCUGUAACUCUGUCUUUCAAAUAAAUAAAAUAAAUCUUAAAAAAAAAAAAAAAAGAACGUGUAUUGUCUUAAAAAAUAAAAAAAACACUAAUCCAGUACCUACAAGAAUUCAAGUGCCAGUAGUUUGUUUAGGAGGUAAAACACCAAAGAGUGGAGCAGGGAGACAGGAAGAAGAAGGAAGCCAGCAGUGUGUUAUCAAAAAAGGGACAACUGUGUACAGCAGGACUCAAUCCCACCUGGAACUCAGAGACCACAUAGAAGAGGGGCAUCAAAUUUUUCUGAAAAGGCCAGAUAAUAUCUGUCCCUGUUACAAAUACCAGCUCUGACAUAGGAAUUUGCAAACAGUCAUGGAUGACACAUAAACAAAUGAGCAUGGCUGUGUGCCAAUGAUAACUUAUUUCCGAAAUGGGGUGAUAGCUGGACUUGGAUCCUGGGUCAUAGUUUGCCGGGCCUUGAUGUAGAAUAACCAAAGGUGAGAAGCCGCUGACUCUGGUCUGGCUGUCAUUGGUUGAAGACUUCUGGGUGUGUUCAUCCUCCAGCACUUCGAGCCAGCCC